rnacentral:rRNA from 1 species
UACGUAGGGUCCGAGCGUUGUCCGGAAUUACUGGGCGUAAAGAGCUCGUAGGUGGUUUGUCGCGUUGUUCGUGAAAACUCACAGCUCAACUGUGGGCGUGCGGGCGAUACGGGCAGACUAGAGUACUGCAGGGGAGACUGGAAUUCCUGGUGUAGCGGUGAAUGCGCAGAUAUCAGGAGGAACACCGGUGGCGAAGGCGGGUCUCUGGGCCGAGUAACUGACGCUGAGGAGCGAAAGCGUGGGGAGCGAACAGG